GCUAGCGGCCGGUAGGGCCGCGGUCACGGCUUUUGGCGGUGGCACUCGUUCUCCCUUCCCGGAAAGCGAGAGAAAAUCAAGUCGCAGCCGGCUUGGGCCGGUGUUGGGGACGGCCGUGCGGGACGCUGAGGCUGUGAGGGCUUCCCCUGCUGCUUCUGACUCAAGUGUGAAGUGAGGUUCCCAGGUGAUGUUGAUGCUGCUCUUGUGGGGACCACGCAUUGAAAACCUCAGAUCAAUGGCCAACAGAUUUCAGAUGUUCUGGUGGCUCCGGAUGCGCAGGCUCAGCGGCCAUGGCUCACAGGCCCAGCCACUCUGCAGCAUGUGGGAUCCUCCCGGACCGGGGCACGAACCCGUGUUCCCCGCAUCGGCAGGCGGACUCUCAACCACUGCGCCACCAGGGAGGCCCUACCACUAUUUUAAAAACUUAAACAAAAGAGAUUAUAAUGAACCCCGUGUACCCAUCAUCCAGCUUUAAGAAUUAUCAAUCUUGUUCUGUUUAUAUUCCCACGCACUGUCUCACCUCUACCUUCCUGAAUUAUUUUAAGGUAAAUAUCAGACAUCACAUUGUUUAUUCUGCAGACAUUUCAGUUUGUAUCUUUAAAAGAUAAGGAAUCUACAUUCAUCAAAUUAUUGUUGAGCAUAUAUGCUGUACUCGAGGGAUACAAUAGUGAACAACAUAGACAUGGUCUCUGAUCCAUGGUGCUUAUAGUUUAUGGGGAAGACAAUAAACUAGUAAAUAAUUAUAGAUUAUGAUAAGUAUAUAGCCAGUUUGUAAAGUCUUCACUUGUGAGAUAUAAAUAUGAAGCGAUUUAAUUUGUUUCCCCUAUAACCAUUACCACUGUCUUUAGAAAUUCACUUAACUCUGUUGAACGGAUUCCCUUAAGAAUAUUCUACUCUGGUCCCAUAAUUGCAGUCACUUUCAGUAACUAAUACAGUACCAUUCCAAGUAUUAUGACUUAGGCCUGCCCGUUUAAAAUCUUUAAUCUCUUAUUUAAUUCAUAGCUCUUCCCGUUCUCCUGGUGCAGGUGGACUUGUGGCUACAACAGUUCUUAGUGGAGGGAGUGGUAAUGUCACUCCCUUUCUUUCUGCUUGGCUCUGCUCCUAAGUAAGGAUGAGGAGGAGGGAGAAAGAAUGUUCUCUGCAAGACUGUCCAUGAAGAGUUAUCUGUUCUUUUUCUUCUGGUUGUUGCUACUUCAGUAACGGUUCUCCCAAUGUGUCAGGAGUCCGGAUGCCAGCUUUCUUACUUGGAAUGGGCACAUUGUUGCUCUCUGGGGCCUCCCCUGUGCACUCUCUAAUGUAGGAGAGGUCAAUCUAAACCCUUUCUCCCAGACAUCCCCACCAGUCCCUGCCAGGGGCAGUCUAACAUAUAGCCUUUUGUUGUUGGGGGAUCUUUGUCUGGAGGGGCUUCUUGGGGAGUGCCAGCAAGGGCCUUAAGCCUCAGCCACCUUCUGUGCUCUCCAGUUGACUCACCCAUGGAGAAUUUACGUGCAUAACUCAAGGAGGAAGGGAAUGCAGGCAGCUCCCAUCUUGGUGCUCUUCUCUUAGCAUCAACUAGCUCUCUCCUCCCUUCCUUCACCCCUAGGGGCAUCAGGGGCUCAUGCAGGGCAAUAGUUCCGUGACUUUCAGACAAGUUCUCAGCUUGAGGAGUGGAGAGAGGAGUAGUUUACUGCACUUUAAACUUGUGGGAAAGGAAUGGGAGAACAAGAUGAAUGGCCUCCAUCCUCUUUAGCUAGAGAAAAGCAAUGGAUGGUUGCCAUCUACAAUAAGUAAUGUUCAUUCAUGGAUUUAUGAACAAAUUGGAAAAAAAUUCAAAUAUCUACUUCUGUUGCAGAAUUUAUGAUAAAGUGAUUAAUAUUAGUAACUGACUUUCAAACACACAAAUAGUGAUAAGACUUCAGGGGUACAACAGUGUUCCGAUUGUAUAUAUCUUUCUCAUCAGCCAUCCUGCCUGAAACUCAGGAAAUAUAGGGUCCCUGGUUGUAUAAUAUGAAUACACUUGAAAAGUUCCUUGUCCUUAUCUGGCAACCCAGAUGGAUGAAUACCACCCCGAAGUUGCCUUUCUUAAAACCAUUAAGUAGUGUCACUUAUGUUUUCUUGGCCAUCCUGCAUCUGUCUUGAAACAGGCUGCUACCCAAGACUUCCCAAGUUUAUGAUGAUGUUUUUUUCAGAAAUUAGUAUGUAUGUGUAUUUUUCUUUUUCCUCUGGAUGACUUAUAUUAUUUUUUCCAGAUUUAUUGAAAUAUAAUUGACAUAUAACAUUGUGUAAGUAUUAGGUGUACAGUGUGAUGUUUUUAUAUAUGUAUAUAUUGGGAAAUGUUUACCACAAUAAGGUUAGUUAAUACAUCCUUUAUCUCACAUAAUUACCAUUUUGUUGUUGUUGUUAUGGUGAGAACAGUAAAGCAACAUUUAAGUAUAUAAUACAGUAUUAUUAUCUAUAGUCAUCAUGCUGUACAUAGAUCCCUGGAACUUAUUCAUCUUAUAACUGAAAGUUUGUACCCUUUGACCAUCAUCUUCCCAUUCCCCCCACCAACCCCCAGACCCUGGUAACCACCAUUCUACUCUCGUUUUCUCUGAGUUUUGCAUUUCUAGAUUCACGUAUGAGUGAGAUCAUAUAGUAUUUGUCUUUCUCUGUCUGAAUUAUUUCACUUGGGAAAAUGCCCUCAAGGUCUAACCAUAUGGCCACAAAUGGUAGGAUUUCCUUUUUUUUUAUGGCUGAAUAAUAUUUGCAUGUAUAUUUUUCAAGGUGACACUUCUUCAUAGACUUAUUCCCCUCAACUCUCAUACAUAAAUUGGGAGGAUAAUGCAGUCAUUUAUUCCUCAAAUGGAUACUCUAUUUAAUGAGUGCCUACUAGGUACCAGGCACCUUGUUAGGGGCUGGGGAUGCAACUGUGAGCAGGACAGCCCUGGCCUCUAUCACAGAGCUUAGCAGUGAAGAAGGUAUCCCUUGCUUGUGAAUGAAGAAAACAAAUCCUGAUCCCUUACUUUCUUCUUCUAAAAUAAAUUUUAAUUAAACAUUUAUAGUACAUGAAAAAAAUGUGCAAAUGCAAAUCAAAACCACAAUGAGAUAACAUUUCACACCCAUAGGGUGGCUUAUUAUUAGAAAAAAAAAGGGAAAAACAAGUUUUGGCAAGGAUGUGGAGAAAUUGGAACCCUCAUGCAUUGCUGGUGGGAAUGUAAAAUGGUGCAGCUGCUGGGGAGAACAGUUUGGCAGUUCCUCAAAAAGUUAGAAUUACCAUAUGAUCCAGCAAUUUGACUCCUAGAUAUUUUCCCAAAAGCCUUGAGAGCAGGGACUCAAACAGAUACUUAUCCACCAAUCUACAGAGCAUUAUUCAUAAUAGCCAAAGGUAGAAAUCACCCAAGGAUUCAUCAGCAGAUGAAUGGUAUAUCCACACAGUGGAAUUCUAUUCAGCCUUAAAAAGGAUGGAAAUUAUGACAUAUGCUACACCAUGGAUGAAAGUUUAGGAAACUAUGCUAAAUAUAAUAAGCCAGUCACAAAGAGACAAAUAUUUUAUGAUUCUACUUACGUAAGUUACCUAGAAUAGGUAAAUUCAUAGAGACAGAAAAAUAGAGGUUAUCAGGGGUUGGGGGAAGGGAAAUGGGGAGUUAUUUAAUGGGUACAGAGUUUCUAUUUGGGAUGAUGAAAAAGUUCUAGAAGUUGAGAGUGCUGAUGGUUACAUAAUAUUGUGACCGUACUGUGCCACUGAAUUGAACAUUAAAAAUGGCUGUAAUGUAAAUUUUAUGUAUAUUUUAACCACAAUAAAAAUAUGUGAAUACUUUCCUUUUAUUAAAAAAUUCAAACGUUAUAGACAAGGUGGCCUCUUUGACCACCUCCUCCAUCCUGAUUCUGGU